GAAAGCAGCGAAAGAAGCAGUUUUGUCGAGUCCCUCUUGCAUCUCCUCUCCCUCUCUUGCUGUCCCGCACCCUCUCCCGCUCUCCCGUUCCCGCUGUCCCCUCGUCUCCCGGUCUCUCUCUCCCUAUGCCCGGCCGGGCCAUGCCCCCUUCCCGCCCCCGGCCCCAGGCGGGGCUGUCCCGUCCCCGGCCCCGGCCGUCCCGCCGCGGUCUCGCCUCCGCCCGGCUCUGGUCGUGCUGGCACUGGCGCUGCUGGGCGGGCAUCAGUGCCUGGGGCUCGGGAGGCAUCGCCUCCCUUUGGCUCCGCCUGGCCCGAGCCAGGCCCCGGCCCCGGCCCCGGCCCCGGCCCCGGCUCCUCCCGGGCCCCACGGAGGACACAGGCGGCGCGGCUGCUGCCGCCGCCUCCUCUGCGGCUUCCCCGGCCCGAGCUCCGCCGCUCGGCAGCGCGGCCGCCGGCCCCGAGCCGCCACUGUCCCGUUGCCAGGAGCGAACACCAGGGGAUGGCCGGCCCGCGGCGCUUGAGGGGCGCUCGGGGGCCGCUCCUGGCCCCGGGCUGAGCGCUGACAGCCGCGUCCCGCCCGCAGGGAAGGCGCAGGAGGCCCUGCAGGAGCGGGAGCGGCUGGGUUCGCUGCCGGGCCGUGGCGGCUUCGGCUGCGUCUUCGCGGCCACGCGGCUCUCGGACGGCGCCCCGGUGGCCAUCAAAAGGGUGCUGCGGGAUCGCAUCCGGCACUGGGGCGAGCUGCCCGACGGCACCAGCGCACCCCUGGAGAUCGUGCUGCUGGCCAGGGUGGCCUCUGGCUGCACUGCUGUCAUUCAGCUCCUGGAGUGGCUUGAGCUCCCCGACAGCGUCUUGCUGGUGCUGGAGCGUCCGGAGCAGUGCCAGGACCUGUCGGGUUUCCUGGCGGAGCGGAGGUUCCUGCUGGAGGAGGAGGUGCGGGGGCUGUUCCGCCAGGUGCUGGAGGCCGUGUGGCACUGCGCCAGCUGCGGGGUCCUGCACAGGGACAUCAAGCCCCAGAACAUCCUGCUCGACCUGGCCACCGGGCGGGUGAAACUGAUUGACUUUGGCUGUGGCGUCUUCCUCCAAGACACAGCCUACAUCCAGUUUGCAGGAACCCUGUCCUACAGCCCACCAGAGUGGAUCCACCACCAACGCUACCACGGCGAGGCAGCGACCAUCUGGUCCCUGGGCCUCCUGCUGUACCACCUGGUCAUGGGGAAGCACUCAUUCAGGAGGGGUCAGGAGAUCAUCUGGGGGCGGAUCUUGUUCCCACGACGGCUCUCUCAAGAGUGCCAGGAUGUCAUUAAGAGGUGUUUGUCCAUGCAGCCCUUGGACAGGCCAUCCUUAGAAGAGCUUUUCUGCGAUCCUUGGGUGCGGGGUGUUCCUCUGCCCUAGAGGAUGGGAGAGUUCCACGUGCAGUUGGAUCCAGGGGCCUGGCAGAAAGAGAAGGAGCCCCUGGAGAAGCUGUACUAGGUGGGGCUGCUGCUGCUGGAGACAGCAAGGACUCCAUCAAGGAUGACAACUUCUUCCUCGGCCUGGCCAACUGAAGAUGAUGGACUUGGAUUCUGCCACCUUCUCCAAAGCCAGGCUCCACAGGGAAUUUGCAUAUGAGUCCACACGCAAGGAGAUGCUCCCAGAUUUGGGCAUUGCACAGCCUGGCAGGGAACCAAAGGUUCUCCCUUUGCUGGGGCGGAUGCAGCUGAUCCUUCAGUCGGCUGCCCAGCUGCUUUUGGCAGGGCUGGGGGGAUGGGCUGGGAUGGGUACGAAAUGGGAGUGGGCUCCUGGCCCUGCCAACAGCCCCCGCCACCCACCGUGCCCUGGGCUGGGGCUGGGGCUGGGGCAGCCAGUCCAACACAAACCAACCCCCAUGGUGGGAGCAGAGGUGGGACUCCAGAACCUGUGCAGGGGCUGCUUUGCUUUGCAGGCAAGGAAGGGCUUGGGCUGCUCCCCUGCCCUUGUUUGCUUUGGGAUCACGGUUAUUUUGGGGGGCAGUGCAGGGGGAAAGGGAGAAAGCCUGGGCUUCCCUCACCUGUGGGUGGGCUUUUCCCUGGCAUGCAGGGGUUGGGCCUUCCUCAAGUCCCUGUCAGAGAUAUGAUUUUUCUUGUUUUCUUGUUUCCCCUUUUUGUAUGUAAUCUAUUGUCAAUCAUUUCUGUGUGUUUUUCUAGAGGAAGCGUUCUAGGUGGGGUCCAGUCUGGAUGGGGAAGUGCUUGGGAGCAGCUGCGGCGUGGAUGGGCCGUGCCCUUGGAGAAGGUUGAGGACAUCGUUUUGGACCAGCUUUUCUUCCAGCAGUGGAUGGCGUCAGCCGGGCUCUGUGGAUGCUGAGGCUGCUCUGGGCUCUGCCAGGGCUCUGCUGGCGCUCAGCACCGGGCCAGAAUCAGCCAAAGAAGAAAUGGUGUGACCUGCAGCACAGACUUGCUUGAGCAUUUCAGCAACACAGCUUAAGUUUGCAGAGUGUACACCUCCAAGGGAAAACAUGCCACUGAUUUAUUCAAGAAAUAUGGAUAUUGAUCUAGCACCAAUAUCCAACUGUGAUGGACAAAAACUCUCUAACAGUUUAAAGUUAGAAAGUGUAUGUUUAUUGCGACGCCAGGCAGCGUGCGGGAUAGCUCCCAAAUACACACCACACCUUUCAAAUUAUUACAGAGUCCUUUUAUCCACUCAAUAAUUGAAUACCCAAAAUACAAAUACAUAUUCAUCAUUUUGGUACAUCCCAUUCCUUGCUUCGGAUGCUAAUCAUUCCAAAAGCUAUUAAGCAUGCGUAGUUUGUUCCUUGAAAUGGGUUGGUGGUCCCUUUCAUGGGGAGGGGUCCCAAAAUGAGGAAGUAAAUGAAGUCUUCCUCAUUCUGACCUUUCUACCUUUUCAAUGAGAAUAUGACAAAUGAACCUUGGUAGAACUCCCAUUCCUUGUCUUCAAUUGGUUUCAGAACAGAGGAGGCCCACAAUUGUCUUAUGUUCCUAAAAGCUAUUUGUCAGUUUCUAUAUUCUUCAUUAUAAACCCAGCUAACUAAACAUUGUGUUGAGAAGCAAUCAAUUAUUAGUUAAUUACUAACCCUUAACUUCAUCAAGCCCCACCUUGGAGGC